UCCUCGAUGGUCUAGUGGUCAUGAGUAAGUUCUUAUCACGUAAGCAAAUAGUUGUGCAUCAUUGUCUAACAUGCAAUUCAGUUUCCGCUUGUCACUACCAAGUAACGAGCGCGGGAGACCAGGGUUCGAUUCCCUGUCGGGGAG